UACGAAGGGGACUAGCGUUGUUCGGAAUCACUGGGCGUAAAGCGCACGUAGGCGGACUUUCAAGUCAGGGGUGAAAUCCCGGGGCUCAACCUCGGAACUGCCUUUGAUACUGUUGGUCUCGAGUCCGGAAGAGGUGGGUGGAAUUCCUAGUGUAGAGGUGAAAUUCGUAGAUAUUAGGAAGAACACCGGUGGCGAAGGCGGCCCACUGGUCCGGUACUGACGCUGAGGUGCGAAAGCGUGGGGAGCAAACAGG
rnacentral:rRNA from 1 species